rnacentral:misc_RNA from 1 species
GAUGAAGAACGUAGCGAAAUGCGAUACGUAAUGUGAAUUGCAGAAUUCAGUGAGUCAUCGAAUCUUUGAACGCAUAUUGCGCUCUUUGGUAUUCCGAAGAGCAUGCUUGUUUGAGUAUCAGUAAACACCUCAACCUCUUCUUGAUUUUUCAAAAGGAGGGUGGACUUGAGCUAUCCCAACAACCUUUACCGGUCGGCGGGCGGCUUGAAAUGCAGGUGCAGCUGGACUUUUAUCUGAGCUAAAAGCAUAUCUAUUUAGUCCUCGUCAAACAGGAUUAUUACUUUUGCUGCAGCUAACAUAAAGGAUAAUUGUCCUCUUUGCUGACUGAUGCAGGAUUUUACGACACUUUAUGUGUUGUUCAACUCGAUCUCAAAUCAAGUAAGACUACCCGCUGAACUUAAGCAUAUCAAUAAGCGGAGGA